rnacentral:rRNA from 1 species
AUUGAACGCUGGCGGCAUGCCUUACACAUGCAAGUCGAACGGUAACAGGUUAAGCUGACGAGUGGCGAACGGGUGAGUAAUAUAUCGGAACGUGCCCAGUCGUGGGGGAUAACGUAGCGAAAGCUACGCUAAUACCGCAUACGAUCUACGGAUGAAAGCGGGGGAUCGCAAGACCUCGCGCGAUUGGAGCGGCCGAUAUCAGAUUAGGUUGUUGGUGAGGUAAAAGCUCACCAAGCCUGCGAUCUGUAGCUGGUCUGAGAGGACGACCAGCCACACUGGAACUGAGACACGGUCCAGACUCCUACGGGAGGCAGCAGUGGGGAAUUUUGGACAAUGGACGCAAGUCUGAUCCAGCAAUGACGCGUGCAGGACGAAGGCCUUCGGGUUGUAAACUGCUUUUGUACGGAACGAAACGGUGAGCUCUAAUAUAGUUUACUAAUGACGGUACCGUAAGAAUAAGCACCGGCUAACUACGUGCCAGCCGCCGCCGUAA